rnacentral:lncRNA from 1 species
GUAUUAGAAGUCUAGUCUAAACUGUAUUAGGAGUAGGCUAGGUUAUGUGUAUUAUAUAUAGGGCUCAUUGUAUCAUGUUUACAUAUCAAUUAUAUAUCCUUCUCCCGUGCCUUCUCACACUAGGAAAAAAUGUUUUACUUUGAAACAUUCAAACCACAAUCAACACUUUGAAACACUAUUUUUUCAGCUAAAAUUGCAGCAGUAAGCAACAUUGUCAAUGGCAGCAGCUACUACUUAAUAGAGAGGCUUCUUCUUCCUCGACCUCCGCGGUGGAUAACAAUGGUAUUGAAAACUGGAAUACAUCAGAUAGUCGAGGAUGAGAAAGAGAUCACCAGCAAGG